rnacentral:rRNA from 1 species
GAAUGCUGACAUAAGUAACGAUAAAGCGGGUGAAAAGCCCGCUCGCCGGAAGACCAAGGGUUCCUGUCCAACGUUAAUCGGGGCAGGGUGAGUCGACCCCUAAGGCGAGGCCGAAAGGCGUAGUCGAUGGGAAACAGGUUAAUAUUCCUGUACUUGGUGUUACUGCGAAGGGGGGACGGAGAAGGCUAUGUUGGCCGGGCGACGGUUGUCCCGGUUUAAGCGUGUAGGCUGGUUUUCCAGGCAAAUCCGGAAAAUCAAGGCUGAGGCGUGAUGACGAGGCACUACGGUGCUGAAGCAACAAAUGCCCUGCUUCCAGGAAAAGCCUCUAAGCAUCAGGUAACAUCAAAUCGUACCCCAAACCGACACAGGUGGUCAGGUAGAGAAUACCAAGGCGCUUGAGAGAACUCGGGUGAAGGAACUAGGCAAAAUGGUGCCGUAACUUCGGGAGAAGGCACGCUGAUAUGUAGGUGAAGCGACUUGCUCGUGGAGCUGAAAUCAGUCGAAGAUACCAGCUGGCUGCAACUGUU